rnacentral:rRNA from 1 species
GACGAACGCUGGCGGCGUGCUUAACACAUGCAAGUCGAACGAAGAGCGACGGAAGCUUGCUUCUAUCAAUCUUAGUGGCGAACGGGUGAGUAACGCGUAAUCAACCUGCCCUUCAGAGGGGGACAACAGUUGGAAACGACUGCUAAUACCGCAUACGAUCUAACCUCGGCAUCGAGGAUAGAUGAAAGGUGGCCUCUACAUGUAAGCUAUCACUGAAGGAGGGGAUUGCGUCUGAUUAGCUAGUUGGAGGGGUAACGGCCCACCAAGGCGAUGAUCAGUAGCCGGUCUGAGAGGAUGGACGGCCACAUUGGGACUGAGACACGGCCCAGACUUCUACGGGAGGCAGCAGUGGGGAAUCUUCCGCAAUGGACGAAAGUCUGGCGGAGCAACGCCGCGUGAGUGAUGACGGCCUUCGGGUUGUAAAGCUCUGUUAAUCGGGACGAAAGGCCUUCUUGCGAAUAGUGAGAAGGAUUGACGGUACCGGAAUAGAAAGCCACGGCUAACUACGUG